UAAAACAAAGUGAAAGAACAUUGUUGUGAAGGCAUCUCAGAAGUACAAGAGGGUAGGGUAUCUUUUCAAACUAAGAGGAACUAAUUCUUUUAAAAUAUUUGCUCUUUGAAGGAAAACAAAAAGUAUCAACAAGCAAAAAAGAAGGAACAGUCUUUCGACUCAGCCCAAAAUAUCACUCUUCAUCUGUUGACUGUGUCUAAAGGUACUUUAUACAUACAUACACUUCCUGAUGACCUAGUAUGAUAGCACUCCAUAGACCAAGCUUUUCACUCUUUUUUUCCCCCAAAUAGCUCUAUUGUGGAUAAAACUAUGGAAUAAAAUAAUUGAGGAAUUCUUAUGAGCUGGCGAAUAUUGACUAAAAAGAUUUCAAGGUUUUGUCUUUGAGGAAGUUUUGUUUUCCAUUUUUGUUUUUUUUUUCCCUAAAUUUAUUCUGUUCAUCAGUAAACCAAGAUUGUUAUGCACUGUCCAUUAUCCAAGGGGGGAGGGUAUGAGGAAAGCCAUCUGUAGUAGUGGCAAAAAUGACCUCAAUAUGGUACAGCUUCUCUCAUCAAGAAGUGGAGUCUCUUUCUAAACUCCUUGAAUCUGAGCUGGCCUUGUGACAUAUUCUGAGCACAAGCAAUAAUGUACAUGUUCUAAGCUUUUAAGAGGUCUUAAACCUUCCUCUCUUUCCUCUCUUGGGAAUCUUAUAAGCACCUCUGCGUGAAUAAGGACAGGUGAGUCUGUUGGAAGAACCCAUGGCUCAACUACCCUCUCACUUCAGCUGAUAGACAAAUAACUGUCAGACACGUUAGUGAGACCACUGGUCAUCAGGUAACCAUAGACACCUGAGUGAAUUCAGCUAAGCCCAGCAGAGGAAUCACUUGGCUGAUCUACAGAAUUGUGAUUUAAAUAAAUGACUGUUUUGUUUGUGUCUCAUAGGUGAAAAAUAGCUGACAUACCAUGGAUGUGAAAACAGGUGUAAUAAGCCCAACACAUAGGUAGUCUCCUUUCCCUCUUUGAACUGGAACCUCACAUUGAAUUGUCUCCGCUAAAGAGCCAGGGCUCAGCACCUCUCAGAAGCACCUGAAGGGUUUGUGAGUCUGUACUCAGGUAUUGAUAGGAAUCCCCUGAGGCUCUAUGUAACCUAGAAAUUUAGCAGAGACUGAGGAUACUAGAUUAAGAAGCAGAGUGGGGGAUCUUCUCAAGAAGCAGCAGGAGAAGGGGCAUUUCCCACAUUGUACCCAGAGUGCCUGGACCCUGGGGGCCUUCAGCCUAGACCGUGCCAAGGCCUUCUUUCCUAUAACCUAUAUGAAGCACGGGUGAUACAGAGAUGGAUGACCUAUUCCUGGCCACAAGACUCGGGAUUUGGAAAAGUAAAUCCUCCUGUGAUGGUGUGUGAUUAAUAUUCAACAAAGGUCAGAGUUUGCUCCCUCCUGAGAUGGAUGAUCCUCAGAAGUAACCUGAGCCUCAGUUUCUUCUAUAACCUGAGAACGUGAAUGAGACCUCCAUCGAAGGAAUUCCUGUCCUUUUGGGAUACCAUGAAUUGUUCACCAUUUGUAACACUGUCUUACAGGAUAUAUCAGGAAAUUGGGAUCUUCUUUGUAUUGGUGUUUUUGCAUAGCACUGCUUCAGUAAUAAAUAUGUGACGGCCUAAAAAAAAAAAAAAAGAAAAGAAAAGAAAAGAAAGAAAGAAAGAAAGAAAGAAAACCUUUCUGAGAGAUCACUCUAGCCUGGCUACCUUCCAUGCACAGCCUCUAGGCCUGACGUAUUUCAUCCAUUUGUUUCCUUAAUAACAGUGUAUAAUAGGAAAGGUAAGAAUCAUUGCUUUGUAGCAGUGGUCCCAGUCUGAGCCUAACCUGUUUGUCCUAAAAUUUGAGUAUAUCUGAAUAAGCCUAGUAAACAAGUGUGGGAAGCCUGCUAGGAGUCUAAAUAUAUGAAGGACCCAAAGAUAAAAAAUACUGUGGAAGAAACAGUUCAUACAUUUGGCUCAGAACAAAUGGCUGAAAUUGGAGUGUGGUAUUUAUGAGUGUAGCAUGACAUUUAUCUCACAGUUUCCCUUUAAUCCAGGAAAUAUGGAAAUGUGCCCAAGUUUUGGGUUGAGAGAAUUUCAUUACAAGGGCCAUUUUAUGAAAAACUUUCAGACACUGAAAACAUAAGCUAUCAGGAGCAUUGGCUAAGAGGGUGCCAGCCCCAGCACAGUGCAUAUCCACAAUUAUAACCUCACUCCCGAGCAGGCUGGUGUCAGGAACUAAUCUUGCUUACAGUAGAUUGUGCCCUGCUGGGCAUUCUUUCCGUUUAGACAGUGAACUCAUCGCUAGAGAGGUUUUUGUGUUUGUUUCUGGAUACCAUGUAAUUUUUUAAAGUGGAGGGCUUAGUUGUUAUACACCUCCUUUCGAGAGCCAAAUGCCUCAUCUCUUGUCUGCCCCUCAUGCCUUUUAUUACACGUGUCUUGUCAGUUACCAGUAUCCAUAAAUAACUCUCAGUAUCAUCUCAUCUCCAGAGCUUAAUUUCAGAGCCCACUUUAUUUGAAGUACCUAUAUUUGCCUUUAUUUUACCCAAAUGCAGCUUUUGAAAUUAUAUUUUGCUUUGUUUUAGUUACAUACACCACAGCAUCAUUUAGUAUUUCAGGGAGAGGCUUUCUAGUUAGCUUGGGUCUACCACUUGGUGAAAACUGUAUCUCCUUUUAUCAAUUCUAUCAAUCUUCUAUUCUCCUCCAUUCUUUCCACUGCAACUGAUGUGGUAGAUUCACAUUUAUUGAUGAGUACUGCAUUAGUUUUGCAUGGGUUGCCUAAGAGAAUACCACAGACAGUCUGAAUCCAUGUGAAUUUGCCACUUAUUACUAAGCAGAAACCCUAGUCUCAGGCAAAACAUGUGUUGGAAGAUGAUUCUGUAAACAGAGAAGAGCUGGUAGGCAUCUGUGAGAGUAUCUUCCUAAGCUCUGAAUAUUGAGUUUGUUAAGACCAUCCAUCACUAUGUUUUACAGAAGAGAGUACUGAUAACUCAGGCAGUCAGUCAAGCAGAAGUUAUUUUUAAAAGCUUUUACAUCUGAAUUCGAUUUAAUUUUUUGAGACAUGACCAAGACAAUAUAUAUAGAAAGCUGGAAAUUGCACUGUGCUUAUAUCACAAAAUCUGAGGAACAAUUAGAAUGAUCUGUGGGAUCUUGAGAUCUUUCUGCAUCUUAAUCAUGCUUGAAAAUUAUACAGUAUUUUCAGUUUUCCAAUCCAUUUUACAUACAUAAUUUCUUACAAAUCCCUGCCUUUGAUAGGGAAUGUAACGUGGUUAUAAAGCAUAUGGUGAAUUUGCAUCAUUUUUUAUUUCCUUCUGUUUGUACCACCUUGACCAAUUUUUUAUAAUCCUUGAUUUCCUCAUCAAAAUAACUAUAAUAGAUAUACCCUCUGUAUACAGUUUAAGUUUAAAUGAAGCUGAAUUUAUAUAGUUAGCACAUUUUAAGUACUCAACAAUAUAGGUUCUUAUGAUUAUUUUAGAGAAGCAAAUGAAGUGGAAAAUGUACAUGUGAAAAUAUCUGAAAAGCUAAAAUAAAAUGAACGUAACAAGCAUAAAUUAAUACAUAAUAUUAUGAGAAACAAAUUGAGACACAGUAUUUAAAGGGCUUCUAAAUUAGUAUUCCUUAUUAUCAAAAAGCUACAACUUUCUAAAUUUUAGGUUCAUCACAGUUCACUUGGUAAUUAUUUAUUAUAUAUAAGAAUGCUAAAUUAAGGAUUUAUUUGCCUCUUUAGAUUCUCAGGGUGUUAUAGCUAGUUAAGCAAAUUUUCUGAUAAAAAGGUGAUGUGUGUUUCAGUGUGCUACACAUAAAUCUUACAUGGUUCAUCACACUCUACUGCAAAUGAAUCUUGCAAAUAAAUCUUGAAUAUGUCUGUGCUUUCAACUUUCCAACUCUAAUUGAUUUUAUUUCGGAGACUGACAUGGGAAAUUACAGAAGAUUAAUCUUGAUGAAAUUCUCUGACAAAUAAUCCUUAAGAACAGUGGGGUGGAAUGGGGGAAGAAUCCUAUGUUCUUGGUAAAAAAAAUGUCGUGGUGGCUAACAACAUAUUAUACUGCUUCCUGGAAAAUAUAAAUAUUUUUCACAGAAUAUUAUCAAUAAUUGGAGGCAACCAGUGCCUGUAGUCAAACAAGAUAUAAAUGAGACCACUAUGUAAUCAUAUCUAAACAUCAAGAAAAGGACACUGUAUGGCCACAAAAAGAGUCAAACAUCCUCAGCCUCUGGCUUAUCUGAUUGGCUACAGCUUCUUCAUUGAUGACAGCACUGGUUUCUUCCUAGUUGUAUGGACUUAAAUUUAUUUUUCAUUUCUCUUCAGACAUUUGAGAUUUGAGUCUUGUUGAAAAAUAGUUUUCUUAUUGGUGUUCUAACAGAAAGCUGUAUCCCAUUGGAUUAAAAAAAAUAUGAUAUGCUUUUCCUAAGGAACACAUA